UUGUCGAUCAUAUUGGAGCCUCGGCCGUC
rnacentral:sRNA from 1 species